rnacentral:rRNA from 1 species
UACGGAGGGGGCUAGCGUUGUUCGGAAUUACUGGGCGUAAAGCGCACGUAGGCGGAUCGAACAGUCGGUGAAGAAAGACCUGGGCUCAACUCAGGGAACGGCACCGAUACUAUCGGUCUUGAGGCAAUCAGAGGAUGAUGGAAUUCCCGGUGUAGCGGUGAAAUGCGUAGAUAUCGGGAAGAACACCAGUGGCGAAGGCGAUCAUCUGGGGUUGUUCUGACGCUGAGGAGCGAAAGCUAGGGGAGCAAACGGG